UACGUAGGUGGCAAGCGUUGUCCUGAUUUACUGGGCGUAAAGAGCGCGCAGGCGGUCGUUCAAGUCGCGUGUGAAAGCCCCCGGCUCAACUGGGGAGGGUCACGCGAUACUGAUCGACUCGAAGGCAGGAGAGGGUAGUGGAAUUCCCGGUGUAGUGGUGAAAUGCGUAGAUAUCGGGAGGAACACCAGUGGCGAAGGCGACUACCUGGCCUGUUAUUGACGCUGAGGCGCGAAAGCUAGGGGAGCAAACGGG
rnacentral:rRNA from 1 species